rnacentral:misc_RNA from 1 species
AAAAUGGUGGCCGUGUGUCAGUGUAACAAAUUGUUUAUAAUAUUUAUAACAAUUUCUAAAAGAAACAAUUAGAUAUUUAACAAGUAAGCCGCGACCGAUAAAUGUGUUCACCGUUUUAAUACUAAAGUGGACGAGUUCGGCCAAGUCAGUGUAAUGUAUACGCAAGUGAAAGUACGAAAUCGAGCCGAUUCCAUCGUCCUUACGAUGACCUUCACGUGGCUAUCAGUCAACAUCCAGAAGGGUCCUAAAGAUGCCUGAUGUAUAGCCGAAGAAGAAAUGUCAACUGUAUCCAAAGAGAAUUUAAUUCAACUUCACAAUUGCUGUUGGUUUUUCCUGAUAAAGAUUUUUGGGACGGUCAUAUUUCGGGAAAUGGAACGUAUUGAUUGGGGCCACGUCGUUGCUUUUGGCUUUUCCUGACAAUGGCUAAUUGGGACGAUCAUAUUUCAAGAAGUAGAAUGCACUGAUUCGGACCACGAAGCUGCUUUUGGUUUCUCCUGGCGAUGGCUAAUUGGGACGAUCAUAUUUCAAGAAGUAGAAUGCACUGAUUCGGACCACGAAGCUGCUUUUGGUUUUUCCUAACAAUGGCUAAUUAAGACGAUCAUAUUUCAAGAAAUAAUAGACCGAUUGGGGCCAUGAAGCUAACCAUAAAUGGAUUUCCUUCCCAAGAAGGUGCAAAGCAGUAUCGCUCUCUACUGGUAGGAAAACGUCGACAGGAUUGCGACCACAGGGGAAACCAGGACCAUCACCAGGAGCUGUUUCAUGAGGGCGUUGCUCUUCAUCAUUCGCCGAGGGAUCGUAACACGGGCCGGGAGUGUUCUGGAGCGUCCAGGUUUGGACUAGGAGGUCCCAACACUCGGAACCUCGGGAUUUCCGAGAUACCGAGUCUUGGAAACUCCAAAGUUCGAAUCUCGAAGCCUCCAAAGCUAAGGCAUUGGAGACUUUGGGAUUCGUAUUUUGGAGUUUCUGGGACUCAGUAUCCCGGAAGUCCCGACUUUCGUGUGCUGGGACUCCUAGUUCGAAUUUGUACGAUCCCGUUUUCGGGCGUUGUACCGGACGGUCUUCGAAUUAACAAAACCUUCCGCGCUAAACCUGGUAGACGUGAAAAAUUUUUUUUGUCUUUUUAAUUUAAAAAAAAAUAAAACACAUGGGCCUUCUAUAUCUCUUUUAUUUUGUUUACCCUCUCCCUCCCCUGUGUCAUUCACACCCGCAUUCGCUCUCGCAUUCACGCACUCAUUCACACCCUCAUUCGCAGACGCACUCCCCCAUUCAUUCCACUCGUAAUGGGAGAGAAUGGGAAUGCGUAAGGGUGAACGGAACGGAACUGUGACCGUUAACCCCCAUUCAUUCUCAUUCUCUCUCAUUACCAUUCGCUCAGCAUUCAUUCCUACCCUCUUGCAUACCCCCACUCGUAAUAGAACAGAAUAAAAAAAGAUAAGGGCAAACGAGUCACUGUUUACCCUUAUACAGUCUCAUUCUGUCCCAUUACCAUUCUUACUACUCAUUCUUACCCUCUUGGACACCACCAUUCUUAAUAAGACAGGAUAAGAAAGCAUAAGGGUGAACGGAACUGUGACCGUUUACCCCCAUGCGUUCUCAUUCUCUCUCAUUACCAUUCUCUCAGCAUUCAUUCUUACCCUUUUGCAAACCCCCACUUAUAAUAGGACAGACUAGGAAUGCAUAAGGGUUAACGAGAAGUGACUGUUAACCCUCAUGCAUUCUCAUUCUCUCCUGUUACCAUUCUCUCAGCAUUAAUUCCUACCCUCUUGCAUACCCUCACUCAUAAAAGGAUAGAAUAAGAAUGCAUAAGGGUUAACGAGAAGUGACUGUUAACCCUCAUGCAUUCUCAUUCUCUCCUGUUACCAUUCUCUCAGCAUUAAUUCCUACCCUCUUGCAUACCCUCACUCAUAAAAGGAUAGAAUAAGAAUGCAUAAGGGUAAAUGAGUGACUGUUUACCUUCAUGAACUCUUUUUCUUCCCUCUUACCAUUCGUUUAUCACUCAUCACAUUUUCACCCUCAUUCAUACCUGCACUUUAAUAGAAGAGCUUUAACCCCAUGCUUUCCUAUUCUUCCACUAAUAUUCUCUCACCUGUAAACACACCACCCCAUAGCACAUUCUAACGAGCACUUUCACUCAUAUUCAUUCUCCAUAACACCCUUACAUUCAUACUGUCGUUCUCACCCCCGAAUAAGUCCCUCUUUUCCCCUGUUUAUUAUUACAAUGUAGUUUAUAGAAUCAUCCAAAUAAUUAACUGUCCUUAAACUAUGUGAAAAUAUUCUAUAACAUCGUAAUUUAAACGAAUAAUCCUGCAUAAAUAUAAAUCUAUGAUAAAUACAUUUCAUUUAAUUUUAAUAUAAUCUGAAACUAAAUUAUGUCUGUAUUUAAAAUGUUAAUUACUUACUGAAAAUUCAUAAAUACAAUUUAAAUCAUCCCAAUAAACAUAAAUUAUUAAUAAAAACAGUUAAUUCGUUACAAAUAUACUCAUCACAAUUCCAAUAGCAAAAGUAGAUUUAUUGAUUUUAAUUUUCCCUUGUAUUUUAUGUAAACAUACACCUACGUUUUCCGUAAAAUUAAUUUAGUAAAAAGCCAAUAAAAAGAUAAAACUUGUGAACAAGUUAAUAAGCAAACAUUAUUUUGUUAAACUACUCAAAUACAAAACGUAUAGCUAAUGUUAAAUUUGGAUGAAUUGAAUAAUAUUUAAUCAAAGAAUUAAAUUUUUAAAAAAAUUAAGAACCAGAAACGAUUUAAGGCUUCAGAAUCAACAGGUAAGUAAAAAAAGCAUCUAAAAGUACACUGUAAAUAAA